rnacentral:rRNA from 1 species
GAUGAACGCUGGCGGCGUGCCUAAUACAUGCCAGUCGAGCGAACAGAUGAGGAGCUUGCUCCUCUGACGUUAGCGGCGGACGGGUGAGUAACACGUGGAUAACCUACCUAUAAGACUGGGAUAACUUCGGGAAACCGGAGCUAAUACCGGAUAAUAUAUUGAACCGCAUGGUUCAAUAGUGAAAGACGGUUUUGCUGUCACUUAUAGAUGGAUCCGCGCCGCAUUAGCUAGUUGGUAAGGUAUCGGCUUACCAAGGCAACGAUGCGUAGCCGACCUGAGAGGGUGAUCGGCCACACUGGAACUGAGACACGGUCCAGACUCCUACGGGAGGCAGCAGUAGGGAAUCUUCCGCAAUGGGCGAAAGCCUGACGGAGCAACGCCGCGUGAGUGAUGAAGGUCUUCGGAUCGUAAAACUCUGUUAUUAGGGAAGAACAAAUGUGUAAGUAACUAUGCACGUCUUGACGGUACCUAAUCAGAAAGCCACGGCUAACUACGUG